rnacentral:rRNA from 1 species
GAUGAACGCUAGCUACAGGCUUAACACAUGCAAGUCGAGGGGCAGCGGUAUCGAAAGCUUGCUUUCGGUAGCCGGCGACCGGCGCACGGGUGAGUAACGCGUAUCGAACCUGCCUCAUACUCGGGAAUAGCCUUGCGAAAGUAAGAUUAAUGCCCGGUGUUUUCAGAGUCCCGCAUGAGGCUUUGAACAAAGAUUUAUCGGUAUGAGAUGGCGAUGCGUCCCAUUAGCUUGUUGGCGGGGUAACGGCCCACCAAGGCAUCGAUGGGUAGGGGUUCUGAGAGGAAGGUCCCCCACAUUGGAACUGAGACACGGUCCAAACUCCUACGGGAGGCAGCAGUGAGGAAUAUUGGUCAAUGGGCGGAAGCCUGAACCAGCCAAGUAGCGUGCAGGAAGACGGCCCUCCGGGUUGUAAACUGCUUUUAGUUAGGAAUAAAACGGGGCUCGUGAGCCCCCUUGCAUGUACCAUCAGAAAAAGGACCGGCUAAUUCCGUG